rnacentral:rRNA from 16 species
GACUCUCGGCAACGGAUAUCUCGGCUCUCACAUCAAUGAAGAACGUAGUAAAAUGCGACACCUCAUGUGAAUUGUAGAAUCCCGCGAGCCAUCGAGUCUUCGAAUGCAAGUUGCGCCCGAGGCCACUCGGCCAAGGGCACGCUUGUCUGGGCGUCA